CUACGGGCGGCUCCAGUGAGGAAUAUUGCACAAUGGGGGGAACCCUGAUGCAGCAACGCCGCGUGGAGGAUGACGCAUUUCGGUGUGUAAACUCCUUUUAUAUAUCAAGAAAAUGACGGUAGCAUAUGAAUAAGCACCGGCUAACUCCGUGCCAGCAGCCGCGGUAAUACGGAGGGUGCAAGCGUUACUCGGAAUCACUGGGCGUAAAGGACGCGUAGGCGGGUUGGAAAGUCAGGUGUGAAAUCCUACAGCUUAACUGUAGAACUGCACUUGAAACUUCUAAUCUAGAGUAUGGGAGGGGGAGAUGGAAUUAGUGGUGUAGGGGUAACAUCCGUAGAUAUCACUAGGAAUACCUAAAGCGAAGGCGAUCUCCUGGAACAUUACUGACGCUAAGGCGUGAAAGCGUGGGGAGCAAACAGGAUUAGAUACCCCGGUAGUC
rnacentral:rRNA from 1 species